rnacentral:tRNA from 1 species
GGUGUAGUAGCUCAGUGGUAGAGCACAUGCUUGGCAUGCAGGUGGGUUCUAUCCCCAGUACCU